AUCAUUUUGGCGGAUUAGCGCGUGAGGUUUAGGAUCUUAAUAUGGGGAUCCAAAUGGUA
rnacentral:tRNA from 1 species